rnacentral:lncRNA from 1 species
UAAGUGUGGUUUUCAUGGCACAGCACAGCACAGCACAAACAUGAGGGAUGUUUUGUUUGUGCUGUGGGGGCUUGUUGUGGCAGGGCGGGGCGGGGCGGGUGCAGCUUCAUGGAGAUAAAGGGCUGGGAUCGAAUUUUAUCUGUCAAUGCAAUAUCCACAGUAAUGAUUUAAUUCUUUCAGAGCACCCUGCUAAAGCAGAGAAAAUUGAGUUUCACAUGAAGGGCUAUGAACUCUUGUACUUUACACACACACACUUUCUGAACUGCUUAUCCCAUACGGGGUCGCGGGGAACCAGAGCCUAACCCGGCAACUCAGAGCGUAAGGCUAGAGGGGGAGGGGGCACACCUAGGACAGGAUGCCAGUCCCUCGCAAGGCACCCCAAGCGGAACUCGAACCCCAGACCCGCUGGAGAGAAGGACCCGGUCCAACCCACUGCAUCACCGCACCCCCCACUCUUGUACUUUACAUAAUAUUGAAAUGCCACUAAUUGGACUAUGAACAUAUGUGAGUUAUGUCAACUGCAUUUUUACAAGACACAAGUUGUUUGUAAUACUAAGAAAACUUUUAAGAAAACAGUGCUAUUCCCAGCUUUGUAUCUUGAGUAAAAUUUAUCAGUCAUCAGUAAAGUACCCAGCCCACAGUAAUCCCCUCUGAGUGCAGGAAUACAGGACCCUAACCAUUUAAAACCCAAGAACCUUUACCACUAAGAUGUACAAAAAAUUUAGUUUCUCAGGAUGCGUAGAAGUAAAAACUUCAAGGAAGAUGAAUGGGAUUCUACAUUGAUUUCCAGAUCAAACAGUGUGAAAAUGGUGUGGUAUUUUUACCUACAGUACCUUCCCCUCUACUGCAGGGCACUUCCUCAGCUUCUACCCGCAGAAGAGCGAGCAGCAAACGGGAAGCAACCUCAGCUGCAAGUGGCACACAGAUCUGCCACCGGAUGUUGUUGCAUUUCGUUCAGAAGAAGACAGUGCAAUCAGUGUCUGCAUGGCUCAUCAUGAGCAAACUUGUUCGGGGGAAUGAAUUCCUGCAAAUGUGGGUGAAAUGGAAGAGUCUGUGUCAACAAAUUCAUCAAGGGGCUGCAAGAAUCCCCUCCCCCAAUUGCAGGGUAUGA